UAAAUUUGUUUUUCUUUGGUAUUUUCUUUGCCUGUUGCUUUAACAAAGAAUAAUAUGAUAAAUUAUCUUUUUUUACAAAAGUUUAACCAAAAAAAAUUAAAUUUUAUUUCUCAAAAAUAAUGUUUUCCUCCAUUUCCAGUUACACAGUCGAAUGUGGUGAUAACAUCGUGUGUUUUCAAUUUAGAAUAUUUGCAUUCAUAAAAUGCCAAGAAAAUGUUCGACAACUCAUCCUGGCACAAGAAAAUAUGGCACUAAAUCUAAUUACACCAAUUCUACACUUCAAGAGGCUUUAGCCAAAAUUAAAUUAUAAAAAAUGUCGAUUGGUGAAGCUUCUAAAAUUUAUAAAGUACCUAAAGCAACAUUAUUUUAUAAGCUAAAAAGUAAACACUGUAAAUCAGUAGGGCGCCCUAUUGCCCUUAGCAUUGAUGAGGAACUUUGUUUUGAAAAUCACUUACUUUAUUUAAGUGACAAAGGUAUACCAAUUGGAAUUAAUGAUUUUAAAAGUAUUGUCAAAAUCUAUCUGGAUGAUAGUGGAAAAAAUAUACAACAGUUUAAAGAUAACCAACCAGGUUGGGAGUGGUGUAAACUUUAUCUUGACAGGCAUCCAUCAUUAAAAGAAAAAGUAUCUCAAUGUAUUUCAAGGAAACAUGCACAGAUUAAUUAUUGUCAAAUAAAAUUAUUUUUUCAAAAUCUAGAGAAGGAAUUAAAUAGAGUAACGCUAGAUAACAUUUACAAUAUGGAUGAAACAGGGUUUCAUGAUGAUCCUGGAAAAAAAAAAACUUAUUUUUCGUCAAUCCUCUCGCCAUCCAGAACUUAUAAGAAACACAACAAAAACUUGUUACACUGUUGUUUUUUGUGGAAAUGCCUCAGGAAAACUAAUUCCACCAUUUUUCAUUUUUAAAGGAAAACACAGUUGGUCUGACUGGCUUUACAAUGCACCAGAAGGAUCAAGAAUGGCAACUUCUUGCAGUGGCUGGAUGGAAAUUCAAAUAUUAGAAGAGUGGCUGUUAAAUCACUUUGUUCCAAAUAUUAUAAAUAAAGAAGGUAAAAAAAUUCUGAUUUGCGAUAAUUUAAGUGCUCUUAUAUCUUUAAAGCCUUAAAUAUAUGUGAAAAGCAUAAUAUAUGCCACUGAGGUAGAAGCAUACUAUAAGGAAAGAGACAAUAAAAAAAAAAGUCAAGAUAAUAUUCGAGCAAAGAAAAAAGGAAGACCACUUGGAUAAAAAAAUAUGGUAAAUGUUAAUCAAGUUAUUGAAGACAAUGAACAAGUUUUACCUGUAUCUCAAAAUGAUGCAGUUUUUUCAUUGGAGCAAAUAAACAAUCACUAUGUACAUGUUUUCCUUGAUCAUGAUUAUUUUGUAAAAGAGUUAGUUGUAACUCAAGACUAAAAGAAUGAAACACUGUAAUAUUUAGUUUUAUAGUCAAUGGUGUUUAUUUGUGGAGAAUUAUAUAAAAAUAAUGUCUUAA